rnacentral:rRNA from 1 species
GAAGGGUGACAGGGUUGCAAUAAAAUGGUGGCUGCGACUGUUUAAUAAAAACACAGCACUCUGCAAACACGAAAGUGGACGUAUAGGGUGUGACGCCUGCCCGGUGCUGGAAGAUUAAAUGAUGGGGUGCAAGCUCUUGAUUGAAGUCCCAGUAAACGGCGGCCGUAACUAUAACGGUCCUAAGGUAGCGAAAUUCCUUGUCGGGUAAGUUCCGACCUGCACGAAUGGCGUAACGAUGGCCACACUGUCUCCUCCCGAGACUCAGCGAAGUUGAAAUGUUUGUGAUGAUGCAAUCUACCCGCGGCUAGACGGAAAGACCCCAUGAACCUUUACUGUAGCUUUGCAUUGGACUUUGAACCAAUCUGUGUAGGAUAGGUGGGAGGCUUUGAAGCGGGGACGCCAGUUCUCGUGGAGCCAACCUUGAAAUACCACCCUGGUUUGUUUGAGGUUCUAACCUUGGUCCGUUAUCCGGAUCGGGGACAGUGCAUGGUAGGCAGUUUGACUGGGGCGGUCUCCUCCUAAAGUGUAACGGAGGAGUUCGAAGGUACGCUAGGUACGGUCGGACAUCGUGCUAAUAGUGCAAUGGCAUAAGCGUGCUUAACUGCGAGACCGACAAGUCGAGCAGGUACGAAAGUAGGACAUAGUGAUCCGGUGGUUCUGUAUGGAAGGGCCAUCGCUCAACGGAUAAAAGGUACUCUGGGGAUAACAGGCUGAUUCCUCCCAAGAGUUCAUAUCGACGGGGGAGUUUGGCACCUCGAUGUCGGCUCAUCACAUCCUGGGGCUGUAGCCGGUCCCAAGGGUAUGGCUGUUCGCCAUUUAAAGUGGUACGUGAGCUGGGUUUAAAACGUCGUGAGACAGUUUGGUCCCUAUCUGCCGUGGGCGUUGGAAAUUUGAAGGGGGCUGCUCCUAGUACGAGAGGACCGGAGUGGACGAACCUCUGGUGUACCGGUUGUCACGCCAGUGGCAUUGCCGGGUAGCUAAGUUCGGAAGAGAUAACCGCUGAAAGCAUCUAAGCGGGAAACUUGCCUUGAGAUGAGAUUUCCCGGAGCCUUGAGCUCCUUGAAGGGUCGUUCGAGACCAGGACGUUGAUAGGUCAGGUGUGGAAGUGCAGUAAUGCAUUAAGCUAACUGAUACUAAUUGCCCGUACGGCUUGUCCCU